rnacentral:rRNA from 1 species
GACGAACGCUGGCGGCGUGCUUAACACAUGCAAGUCGAACGGAAAAGCCUCUUUCGGCGGUUACGCGAGUGGCGAGCGGGUGAGUAACACGUGAGUAACCCCCCCCUCACUGUGGGAUAACUCAAUGGAACAGGGGCUAAUACACGACAUGAGCUCAUGCCGCAGGGUGGGGGUUGGGAAGUAUGGGCGAUUGGGGAUGGAAUCGCGGCUGGUCAGAUUGUCUGUGUGGUAGUGUCUUAGCAAAGCAUUGACGGGUAGCCGGACUGAGAGGGUGAGCGGCCACAGUGAGACUGAGAUUCGGACCAGACGCCGACGGGUGGCAGAAGUGGGAAAGAUUGAUCAAGGGGUGUAGGCCAGAUGCAGCAGCGCCGUGGGCGGGAGGACGACCUUGGGGUUGUAAACCGCUUUCGCUCUUGACGAAGCUGUGAAUGACGGUAGCGGGUAAAGAAGCACCGGCUAACUACGUG